AUGAGAAGCGAAAUUGAGAUGCUGGAAAGACAAACAGGAGGAGGUGGAGAAAUACAGAGACUGGCUUCGGUUCUAACCACCCUCUUCAGGUAUAUCACCAAGCCCAGCCAGGCGACAUCUAGUGGUCAACCUUGGAUCACCGUGAAGUUUUUGCCUGAAUGUCUCUCACGUGGGGCUAUUUUGCCAUUGGCGGCCCUUUUGGCAUGUCCUGGGUUUGUCGCGAGAUUUGAAGUUGAGUAUAAGCACGGCCCGAAUACAUGUUUUAGUUUUCCAGCCUCUCAAAGACGUGGUGACUGCGCCAAGGCACUCUACUGUUUCUGCAUCAAACAGCAAGACACUAAUGAUUGUCUGGACAAAAUCAGAGACGGCCUUGGACUCCGUGUGAGCAAUGACCGCCGGUGCCUGUGAGCAGGACUUCCCUGGGACACCAGGGAGUCCUGCACACUACUGCUGGAUAAAGCCAUACAUUCUUCCUUCCAUUUGCACUUUUCUCCGUUAGAGAAACUCCAGCAUCCUUGCUUAAAAUACGUGCCCUCCAGCUCUGCAGUCCAGGGAUCCCAUGGGUAAGUGACGGAAGCUGACUUUCCAAGCAGAGAAAUCCCUCCCUUUUGUCAAAUGGGCUCCAUCUACAUUUCCACCCGUUUCUUGACUUUUCCUCUAUGCUCAGGCCAUUUUUUUAAACCCCAAAUUCUUUCCCCUCUUUUCUGCUAAGAAAUGUUUUAUACUAGGAAGACUUUCUUAACUAAGAAGGCUGCUCUUUUUAUUUUAGACUUCUUGAUUACUUGGCCAGACAGAAAUC
rnacentral:lncRNA from 1 species